UCCUUCCACCCAAUCGGUGCUCUCACACACUGUUGUUCCGUCCCCUCGCCCUCCUUCGGUGACAGGCUGUGCCUCCCGGCCUCUGAGCCACUGGGGCCCCUUCAGAGACGGGUCUUCGUCUGGCAUCGACCAAUCAGAGCUCCAGAAUCGAACCUGUCCACGCUGCGGAGAGCCCAGAAAGGAGGGGCAGCCGUGGCGGCACAGGAAAAAGGCGAUGGUUGGAAGGACUCCCCGCAGCCCCAACCCAGAACUCCAGACUCCCUGUGUCCAAUGGCCUGGUGGAUGCCUCUCCCUGAAUAUCCCACAGGAGAGGGGGACCAAGGGUUGCUACGUACCUGGAGAUGGAGUUCUCUGAUGCGAUGUCCUUUGGGGUCCGGACUGUUGUGAAGGUUCAUCCAGUUCCACGCCCACCCACUGGCCGCUGGCGAACUCCGUGGUCCCGCAGAACCGCAGUGUGCCCGUCUGAGGAAACAAGGGAGGAUAUGGCUUGGGUGCACCUUGAGAGGCCGAUAAGAUCACCGGCACACAGGUAGCAUGGUGGGAUGGACGAGGGAGCCCCAGGCUUAAAUCUCAGCUUGGACAUCACCAUUCACUGGUUGUAUAACUUAACUGUGCCUCGAUGUCCUCAUCUGCGAAAUGGGAACAGAAAUCUCACCCGCCUUACAGGACUGUUACAGAGCUGCGCUGUCCGACACAGUACACGGCCACUAGCCACAUGUGACAAUUUAAAUUAACUAAAAUUAAAUUAAAAUAGCAUUUCUCCAAUCCCACUAGCCACAUUUCAAGUGCUUAAUAUCCACAUGUGGCUCAUGGCUAGUUCACUGGACUACACAGACAUAGAACAUUUCCAAUCUCACAGAAAGGUCUACUGGACAUGAAUGCUAUAGAGACAUAAAAGCCCUCAGAACAGGGCCUGGUGCUGAGUAAGGGAUCAGUAAGUGUUGCCUGUUAUUACCCUGUAACUUUGGUAAAGGGACCUCACGGGGCCUCAGUUUCAUUUGGAAAAUGGGGAUCACAGUCCACCUCAGAGGCUGGUCAUCCGGUGGAAACACUUCUAAUAUAUGUGAAGCUGCUUAGCUGCAGCGAGUGUGGUUAUUAUCAUUUGUGAGAGGCUUCUUCACUGCUCUAAGCCUCAGUUCCUCAUCUAUAAAAUGGGCUAAAUAAUAGCGCCUACUUUGGAGAGCUGGUGUGGGGAUCAGAACAGUGCCUGGCACACAGAGCCAAGCCCUAUUCUAAGGGCUUUACCCAUUUUAACUAAUUUAAACCUCGAAAAUAAUCUUAAAAGAGAGUGGAUAUAUGUAUAUACAUAACUGAUUCACUUUGCUGUUCAGCAGAAACUAACACAACAUUGUAAAUCAACUAUAUGCCAAUACAAAUUAAUUUAAAAAAAUAAAAUAAAAUAAAAUAAA